GACGAACGCUGGCGGCGUGCUUAACACAUGCAAGUCGAACGGCAAGGCCCUGCUUUUGUUGGCUGCUCGUGUGGCGAACGGGUGAGAUACACGUGAGUAACCUCCCCUUGACUUUGGGGUAACUUCAGGAAACUGGUGCUAAUACCGGAUAGGAGCUCCUGCUGCAUGGUGGGGGUUGGAAAGUUUCGGCGGUUGGGGAUGGACUCGCGGCUUAUCAGCUUGUUGGUGGGGUAGUGGCUUACCAAGGCUUUGACGGGUAGCCGGCCUGAGAGGGUGACCAGCGACAAUGGGCCUGAGAGAGGCCGCAGACGCGUAUGGGAGGCAGCAGGGGAGAAUAUUACACAAUGGGGGGGAGCCUGAGGCGGCGACGCCGCGGGCGGGAUGACGGCCUUCGGGUAGUAAACAGCUUUGGCCUGAGACGAAGCGUGAGUGACGGUAAUGGGUAAAGAAGCACCGGCUAACUACGUG
rnacentral:rRNA from 1 species